GAUGAAGAACGUAGCGAAAUGCGAUAAGUAAUGUGAAUUGCAGAAUUCAGUGAAUCAUCGAGUCUUUGAACGCACAUUGCGCCCCCUGGUAUUCCGGGGGGCAUGCCUGUCCGAGCGUCAUUGCCGCCCUCAAGCACGGCUUGUGUGUUGGGCCCCCGCCCCCCGGCUUCGGGGGGCGGGCCCGAAAGGCAGCGGCGGCACCGCGUCCGGUCCUCGAGCGUAUGGGGCUUCGUCACCCGCUCUGUAGGCCCGGCCGGCGCCCGCCGGCGACCCCAAUCAAUCUUUCCGGGUUGACCUCGGAUCAGGUAGGGAUACCCGCUGAACUUAAGCAUAUCAAUAAGCGGAGGA
rnacentral:misc_RNA from 1 species